UUGCUUCUUGUUUAUCAAUUAUGACAAAGUGAUUUUUGAUGGUUUCAAGACUCAUCAAUGUUUGCAAGAUUUCGCAUUUCUUCAUCAAGCUGGCAGGGAAGAAGUGAGUUCGGUUUAUAGACAAUGGUAGAUCGUAUUGGACUGGAUAGUUCGUUUAACGAAGCUACGGUUAUUCUGUUCUCUUCAAUUGUCUUUGGAUGUGUAAUCCCACAACGUUCCCAACGCGUGGUCCUUCGAACCGGAGUCAAGACGCGUUUUUCUGACGCAGUUUUUCU